AAGUCGUAACAAGGUUUCCGUAGGUGAACCUGCGGAAGGAUCAUUAUUGAAUUGUGAAUGGGGCUUGAUGCGUUCGGGCUUUCGGUUCCCAAUUCCCUUUUUGGGGCCUUGCCAAUUGGUUGGCCUCGGCCCCCAGCCAAAUCCUUUUCCAAACACCUGUGCACCUUCCUUGUGAGAAUGGGAGAGAAAGGGCUUGCCUCUUUUAUCUCGCCUCAUGAUUCAUAAACGCUGUUUGUAAUGUUGAAUGCAUUUAUGCCGUCAAGGCUUUAACCUAAUACAA
rnacentral:misc_RNA from 1 species